rnacentral:misc_RNA from 1 species
UUUCCGUAGGUGAACCUGCGGAAGGAUCAUUAGCACUCCUAAAAAUAAUACUCUCUUUUUGUCCUCCUUCCUUUUUGUUAGGAGGGCAGGGGAGGAUUAACCCCCUUAAAGUGUCACAUGGGUUCAUCCCCUUUUUGUUCUUUUUUUUCUCUAUAAUUAAUGACUCCAUUGAAACCCUUGAAAAUGUACUGAACCAAAAAACAACAAUAUAUCUAAAAUAAGAAAGCAACUCUUAGCAACGGAUAUCUUGGCUCUCGCAUCGAUGGAGAACGCAGC